GCUUACAUGAAGCGCGAGUACGAAUUCUAGUAUCUUUUAUACAAAAUAAAUCACUAAUAGAGUUUAAAUUUUUAAUUUUUUAAGUAUAAACACUCGAUGCAGCCAGAAAGGCCGGAGCUGGGCUCUUCUUUUCCCGCGGUGGACAAUCCAGCUUUGAUGGAUCUCUGCUCAGAAGUGACGUUUGAGGAGGUGAAGAAGGCAUUGUGGGGUAUGAAAAUCCAUUCAAAGCUCCAGGAAACUGGAGAUGGGAUUCAUUCUCUCAUUUCCUUCCAAGUGGGUCGUUAUUGGCGGUGGCAUUGACACUACCACCGAGCAGUGAUCGUGGUGAUGACGAAGCCUUUUUGGAGGUUCAAUUCCGGUGGUCUUUUGUCUGUUAAGUCUGCCUAUAUGAAUCUGGUUCAGAAUGAAGUGGCGUCUGAUGGUGUUUUAUGGAAGCUAAUUUGGAGGUAGAAGGGGUCCACAACGGAUCCUGAAUUUUUGUGGCUUGUUGGUCACGAAAGAUUACUUACAAAUGCUCAUAGAACCAUGAGAGGGUUGGCUGAAAAUGACAUUAGAUGUUUGUGCAAUUCUGCUGCGGAGUCUGUGUUGCAUGUCUUGCGUUAUUGUCCAGUCACCCGUGCGGGGUGGGAUCGUCUACUUUCAAUGGAUGAUCGAGAAUCUUUGGUAGAACAGUGGCUGAUUAAGAAUCUUUAAAUGUCUCAUCGCCGUGGGCAUUGAUCUUUGGUAUUGGCUGCUGGCUGUGUUGGAAUUGGAGGAACGAGACAUUAUUUGAGGAACAUUUUGUACGACCUGCUGAUGCUGUGGGGGUAAUUCUUUGAGCUGCUCGUAGCUUUCAUGUUGGAUUGCGGAAGAUAACCAGAUGCAACAACAAUGGAUGUGGAAGAACGUUAGAUGGACUUUGCCGGAACUUCACCGGAUUAAGCUCAACAUGGAAUCCUGCGGGGAGGCUUGCUACGGGAUAGCUGGUUUCGAUGGCUUGGUGGUUUUGUGCAGAAUGUUGGUUGUUGUUCUGCUAUAAUUGCUGAGCUUGGGGCUGCUAAGUCAGGUCUUGAGUUAACUUGGGAUUGCGGCUAUAGAAGAGUCAUUCUCGAACUUGAUUCUGAGACUCUGGUUCGUUGGUUAACCUCAACAUAUGUUGAGGGUUGUUGGGCUGGUGCUCUUCUGAAGGAGAACAAACAACUAUUGGCUCGAGAUUGGCUGGUCACAACUCGGCAUACACAUCGGGAAGGAAAUAUGUGUGCGGAUUGGUUGGCUAAUUUUACUUGCUUGUUUCCUAUUGGGGUUUAUAGUUUAAGUGUGUGCUCGCCUGGGUUGACUCUUUUACUAUUUGGUGAUGUAAUUAGAGUCUCCAUGCCUCGCCUAUGUACUGUUUAAGUUCUUUUUAAAUCGCAUUUAGGGCUUCGGCCUUCUAGUUUA